AGGCUACCAGAAAAAUUUUCCUGUCUUAAAAGAUGUUGUACCUAGCCCAGGAAAUGAGAUGCAAUCCACACUUUAAACAUUGGACAUGCAGCCAAUAAACCUUCUACUUAAACCAAACAACCUUCUACUUAAUAUAGGAUAUAAUAUGAUACAUGAGAAUUAUAUUAUAUUAUCACAUAUUUGAAUUAGAAAAUGAAAUACUCAUAAUAAGUCAUAAUAAGAAGUAAAGGCCUAAAGUUUAACAUUGUUUUUCAAGGAAAUAUUAAAGAUGUCUUGUUUUAUUACAUUAAGAAUCCUUCCCCAAAACAGAUUUUUACGUAUGCAAUACAAGUAGCAUAGAACAUACACAGAUGAUUAAAAUAUGCAUGAUAUAAGCCAAAGUUUACUUAUGGUCAGCUAUUUCACCUGCUCUAAAGCACCAAAGAGUUUACUUCUUAGCAUUAUUUUGACCAUACUUGCAAGACCAGAUAGGCCUAUGUAUAUCUACCACAAACAAAAGAAAGUCUGGGACAGAGAAUAAUACUUGAACUGGCUUUCAGCCAGGUGGACCUUAUGAACUUCUGUUCCUUGACAUAUUAUUAUUAUUAUUAUUAUUUUCUUUUUUUUCUUUUUUUUUCUUUUUUCUUUUUAUUAGAGGAUAUGUAUAUAUGUACCUGACUGAACCUAUAUGUAUUAAGCAGAUAAUGGUAGCAAAAUGGUUGAGACACAGUUUUCUGUUUUUUCUGGUGAUCAAAAGCCCACACUCUGAUUAUAAGCUUUAAAUAAUAGUCUUGUGGUUGCUUUUUUAUCAUUAAUAAAAGUAGUCUUUCUAAA